CCUACGGGUGGCUGCAGUGAGGAAUAUUGGUCAAUGGUCGGGAGACUGAACCAGCCAAGCCGCGUGAGGGAUGAAGGUACAGAGUAUCGUAAACCUCUUUUGUCAGGGAACAAAGGCGGGGACGCGUCCCCGGAUGAGUGUACCUGAAGAAAAAGCAUCGGCUAACUCCGUGCCAGCAGCCGCGGUAAUACGGAGGAUGCGAGCGUUAUCCGGAUUUAUUGGGUUUAAAGGGUGCGCAGGCGGUCUGUUAAGUCAGCGGUCAAAGCCCGGGGCUCAACCCCGUACUGCCGUUGAAACUGCAUCCCUUGAGUGCGCGAGAAGUAUGCGGAAUGCGUGGUGUAGCGGUGAAAUGCAUAGAUAUCACGCAGAACUCCGAUUGCGAAGGCAGCAUACCGGCGCGCAACUGACGCUCAUGCACGAAAGCGUGGGUAUCGAACAGGAUUAGAUACCCUAGUAGUC
rnacentral:rRNA from 1 species